rnacentral:rRNA from 1 species
CCCUUAGAUGUCCGGGGCUGCCCGCGCGCUACACUGUAGAAAGCAGCGUGCUUUAAAACCUUUCCUGAAAAGGAUGGGUAACCCCAGCAAAAUUCUACGUGCUUGGGAUAGAGAUUUGCAAUUUUCUCUCUUGAACGAGGAAUUCCCAGUAAGUGCGAGUCAUCAGCUCGCGUUGAUUACGUCCCUGCCCUUUGUACACACCGCCCGUCGCUACUACCGAUUGGGAAAAUUUUAGAGAGUCCUGGACUGAUGAUUGUUCGGCUUCACGGCCUUACUUUCGUCGGGAAAGAAUUCGAUAAUAUUUUUCUAGAGGAAGUAAAAGUCGUAACA